rnacentral:rRNA from 1 species
GACGAACGCUGGCGGCGUGCUUAACACAUGCAAGUCGAGCGGUAAGGCCCUUUCGGGGUACGACGAGCGGCGAACGGGUGAGUAACACGUGGGUGACCUGCCCUCAGCUCUGGGAUAAGCCCGGGAAACGUGGGUCUAAUACCGGAUAUGACUCCAUGACGCAUGUUGUGGGGUGGAAAGCCUUGUGCGGCUGAGGAUGGGCCCGCGGCCUAUCAGCUUGUUGGUGGGGUGAUGGCCUACCAAGGCGACGACGGGUAGCCGGCCUGAGAGGGCGACCGGCCACACUGGGACUGAGACACGGCCCAGACUCCUACGGGAGGCAGCAGUGGGGAAUCUUGCGCAAUGGGCGAAAGCCUGACGCAGCGACGCCGCGUGAGGGAUGACGGCCU